GCCCAAGGAGCUGCAUGGAUGUUUGUGGCAGGCAAAUUGAAUGACGUUAUGCAAGAUUGAUUCACCACAUCUUGGCAGAUGAUUGACAAGAGAAGCAGAAGCAGAUGUUUCCAGCCAGCCAGCGUGCAUUUAGGCGAUUAUGGAACUGAGACCGCCGCGGGAUAUGGUUAAAUUUGGGCUGCCAGGACCAGGGGACUCCUCAGUCUGGUCCUGUGGGCUGUGUACGCGGCAAAGGCAUAGUGGCAGUCCCGCAACACCGGAACCAGCGCUGUCACUUCAUUGAUGGAGAUGUGAAGGUACUGGAGAUAAGCCAAAGUAAACGAAGAAGAUGCUGUCCUUCCUCCCAUCAGACUUGGUGGACUGUUCCAAAGCCACGGCCACGUCCACCCAGCGCUGCGGCUUCCAGUCUCUCCACCAACGUAGCGUGCC